AACAAAACCACGCCGAGAACCGGUGCAUCUCAGUAGUUUUUGUUUUCAAUUUUUUUCAAGCCAUGGGAUGCUAAUAAAGACGGCUUUAUUAAUUUGACCGAGUUCCAUAAACUAAUCCAAGACGUGCUGCCAGGCUACAGAAACAAAACAGUGGCUUUGUUUAAAAUGAGUGACAGCAAUAAUGACGAGAAACUGGACCAAAUCGACAGUUUGUCUCUGAUUAAAAAGGCGGAUAUUAACGGAAAUCAUUAUGCUGAACGCUCUGAGAUGGAAGGAUUGAGCACAUUUCUUAAAGUGUAUGCUGUCUUCUAUUAAAGAAUGAAGACAGUUUGAUUGACAUAAUCAAUGUCUUAAAAGUUGAAAUAAAUGAAUAUACGAUAAA